AGAGUUUGAUCCUGGCUCAGGAUGAACGCUAGCUACAGGCUUAACACAUGCAAGUCGAGGGGCAGCGAGAGGAAAGCUUGCUUUCCUUGUCGGCGACCGGCGCACGGGUGAGUAACGCGUAUCCAACCUUCCCCAUAGUAGAGGAUAGCCCGGCGAAAGUCGAAUUAAUACUCUAUGUUGUAUAAUGAGGACAUCUGAAUUAUACCAAAGAUUCAUCGCUAUGGGAUGGGGAUGCGUCUGAUUAGCUUGUCGGCGGGGUAACGGCCCACCGAGGCAACGAUCAGUAGGGGUUCUGAGAGGAAGGUCCCCCACAUUGGUACUGAGACACGGACCAAACUCCUACGGGAGGCAGCAGUGAGGAAUAUUGGUCAAUGGACGAGAGUCUGAACCAGCCAAGUAGCGUGCAGGAUGACUGCCCUAUGGGUUGUAAACUGCUUUUAUGCGGGAAUAAAGUCAGGCACGUGUGCCUGUUUGUAUGUACCGCAUGAAUAAGGACCGGCUAAUUCCGUGCCAGCAGCCGCGGUAAUACGGAAGGUCCGGGCGUUAUCCGGAUUUAUUGGGUUUAAAGGGAGCGCAGGCGGAAGGUUAAGCGUGACGUGAAAUGUACCGGCUCAACCGGUGAUGUGCGUCGCGAACUGGCUUUCUUGAGUGGGUACGACGCUGGCGGAAUUCGUGGUGUAGCGGUGAAAUGCUUAGAUAUCACGAAGAACUCCGAUUGCGAAGGCAGCCGGCGAGUCCUCAACUGACGCUAAUGCUCGAAAGUGCGGGUAUCGAACAGGAUUAGAUACCCUGGUAGUCCGCACGGUAAACGAUGGAUGCCCGCUGUUGGCGAUAUAUUGUCAGCGGCCAAGCGAAAGCGUUAAGCAUCCCACCUGGGGAGUACGCCGGCAACGGUGAAACUCAAAGGAAUUGACGGGGGCCCGCACAAGCGGAGGAACAUGUGGUUUAAUUCGAUGAUACGCGAGGAACCUUACCCGGGCUUGAACUGCAGCAGAACGAUAGAGAGAUCUUGAGGC
rnacentral:rRNA from 1 species